rnacentral:lncRNA from 1 species
UGGUGUGAGUGAUCCUUUGACCUACAGUAUCAUCGGCUAUUCAUAGUGAGACUACUGAGUUUGACUGCAUAUUUUCUUGAUCCCUAGUCAUUCGGAUCCUUACUGUAUAUGUUGUCUACAGUAUAUUUAGAUUUGCUGUUAGGAGUAGAAUGCAUCUAGAUAAAAUCUAUCGAUCUUGAUAGAAAAAGAGAAAUACUAUACAUUUUAUGAGACUGAGUUUAGAAAGUCUUCCAUUGAAGCAAGUGUGAAUAUUAGAAAAGAAUUUCUACAGAAUUCAUAAGUGAACU